UUAAGAAAGUUUUUAUUUAAAAUAUUUAUUUUAUUUUAAUUGAAAUAUAUUUUUAUUUAGUAUUUUCUAGAAAUUUUUAUUUUAAUUAUAGUUGAUUGGUACUGUGAAGGUUAAAUAAUUUUUAUUUAUAAGAAUAUAUUUUUAUAUUACCUUUUGUAUCAGGGUUUAUUAAAUAAAUUUUAUAUAUUAUAAAAUUUCCUGAAAUUAAAAGAUUUAAUAUUAAAUGAUUUUUUAUGUUAUAAAAUAAUUUUUAAUUUAAUAUUAGGGGUUAUAUGCUUUUCAAUUUUAAAUAUCCGGUUUUUUAAUAAAUGAAUUUAAUUCAUAAAUAUUAUAGUUAAUAAUUGAAUUUUAUUAAUUUUAAUUUAAUAUUUAAAGAUUAAUAGGGAUUAGCUUAUUAAUUUAUCUAAAAUAAUUUUACUUUAAUUAAUUUUUGUAGGUUUAAUAACAUCCAUCACUUAAUUUCGUUAUAGUUUUUAUUAAAUAAAUAUUUAUUUAUUUAUUUGUUUAGAUUUUUAUUAAAAUAAUUAAAUUAAUUUAAUUUUUAAUGAAAUAAUGAUAAAAUUAGUAGUUUUUAUAAUUUAAAUAUAGUAACUCGGCAAAUAUUAUUUUCACCUGUUUAACAAAAACAUGUCCUAUAGAAUUUAAUUUUAGGUCUAACCUGCUCAAUGACUUUUAAAGUUAAAUAGCUGCAGUAUACUAACUGUACAAAGGUAGCAUAAUCAUUUGUCUCUUAAUUUGAGGCUUGAAUGAAUGGUUGGAUGAAAUAUAUACUUUCUUUAUUUAAUUAUAUGAAUUUUAUUUUUUAGUUAAAAAGCUAAAAUUAUUUUGUUAGACGAGAAGACCCUAUAGAAUUUUAUAAUUAAUAUUUAUAAAAUAAUAAUUAAUUCAUUUUUUACAUAUAAAUUAUUUGAUUGGGGUGAUUAUAAAAUUUUAUUAACUUUUAUUUUUAAUUAUUUCAUAAAUUAGUGUUUGUUUGAUCCUUUAUUAAGGAUUAUAAGAAUAAAUUACCUUAGGGAUAACAGCGUAAUUCUUUUGGAGAGUUCUUAUCGAUAAAAUGAGUUUGCGACCUCGAUGUUGGAUUAAAGUAAGUAUUUGGUGCAGAAAUUAAAUAACUAGGUCUGUUCGACCUUUAAUUCUUUACAUGAUCUGAGUUCAGACCGGCGUGAGCCAGGUUGGUUUCUAUCUACAAAUUUUUAUAAUAUUUUAGUACGAAAGGAUUAAAUAUUAAUAAUAUUUAUUAAUAUAUGAUUAAUAUU
rnacentral:rRNA from 1 species